AAGUCGAACGAGCGAGAGAGAGCUUGCUUUCUCAAGCGAGUGGCGAACGGGUGAGUAACGCGUGAGGAACCUGCCUCAAAGAGGGGGACAACAGUUGGAAACGACUGCUAAUACCGCAUAAGCCCACGGCUCGGCAUCGAGCAGAGGGAAAAGGAGCAAUCCGCUUUGAGAUGGCCUUGCGUCCGAUUAGCUAGUUGGUGAGGUAACGGCCCACCAAGGCGACGAUCGGUAGCCGGACUGAGAGGUUGAACGGCCACAUUGGGACUGAGACACGGCCCAGACUCCUACGGGAGGCAGCAGUGGGGAAUAUUGCACAAUGGGGGAAACCCUGAUGCAGCGACGCCGCGUGGAGGAAGAAGGUCUUCGGAUUGUAAACUCCUGUUGUUGAGGAAGAUAAUGACGGUACUCAACAAGGAAGUGACGGCUAACUACGUGCCAGCAGCCGCGGUAAAACGUAGGUCACAAGCGUUGUCCGGAAUUACUGGGUGUAAAGGGAGCGCAGGCGGGAAGACAAGUUGGAAGUGAAAUCCAUGGGCUCAACCCAUGAACUGCUUUCAAAACUGUUUUUCUUGAGUAGUGCAGAGGUAGGCGGAAUUCCCGGUGUAGCGGUGGAAUGCGUAGAUAUCGGGAGGAACACCAGUGGCGAAGGCGGCCUACUGGGCACCAACUGACGCUGAGGCUCGAAAGUGUGGGUAG
rnacentral:rRNA from 1 species